GAGAUACGGUCUGACCUGUAGUAACCUCUAGAGUUUGGUGGUGAUGAGAUACGGUCUGACCUGUAGUAACCUCUAGAGUUUGGUGGUGAUGAGAUACGGUCUGACCUGUAGUAACCUCUAGAGUUUGGUGUUGAUGAGAUACGGUCUGACCUGUAGUAACCUCUACAGUUUGGUGUUGAUGAGAUACGGUCUGACCUGUAGUAACCUCUACAGUUUGGUGUUGAUGAGAUACGGUCUGACCUGUAGUAAUCUCUAGAGUUUGGUGUUAAUGAGAUACGGUCUGACCUGUAGUAACCUCUAGAGUUUGGUGUUGAUGAGAUACGGUCUGACCCGUAGUAACCUCUAGAGUUUGGUGUUGAUGAGAUACGGUCUGACCUGUAGUAACCUCUAGACUUUGGUGUUAACGGGUUACCCACCUGCAUCCCAAAUGGCACCCUGUUCCCUUGAUGGUGCACUACUUGUGUGCACUACGUAGGGAAUAGGGUGCCAUCGUUGACACCACCAUGGUCUCUCUCCAUCUGUUCCUAGAAGACGGAUGCUUCAGAUAAGCCCUCAGGCAUUCGGCAGGUGAAAGGUUCCAAACUAAACCCAGCAGCACUUACUCAACUUGCUACAAUCGACUUGCUUCAACGAGGCAAUUUAAGGUGUUAAGUUAACUGUCUUUUUUUUAUACCAGACGCCAAGUACAGAGAGUCAAACGUACUUUGACAUUGACGCACAAGUUCAAAGUCCACAACUAGUGAAACUUCUGAAAAGAGAGAGGAGAUUGAAAACUAUUGAGGUGAUUGAAAACUAUUGAGGAGAUUGAAAACUAUUGAGGUGAUUGAAAACUAUUGAGGUGAUUGAAAACUAUUGAGGAGAUUGAAAACUAUUGAGGAGAUUGAAAACUAUUGAGGAGAUUGAAAACUAUUGAGGAGAUUGAAAACUAUUGAGGAGAUUGAAAACUAUUGAGGAGAUUGAAAACUAUUGAGGAGAUUGAAAACUAUUGAAUCUCCUAAAAAGAGAGAGGAGAUUGAAAACUAUUGAAUCUCCUAAAAAGAGAGUGGAGAUUGAAAACUAUUGAAUCUCCUAAAAAGAGAUAGGAGAUUGAAAACUUUUGAAUCUCCUGAAUAGGCAGAGAGGAGAUUGAAAGUAUUGAAAUCUCUCUGGAACUAAUUUCCAAACAGUGUUUGGGAUUCCAGACUAGAGGAGCUCCUCAAACGGCAUCAUAUUCCCUACGUAGUGCACUACUUUAGACCAGGGUUUAUAGGGUAGUAGUGCACUACUUUAGACCAGGGUCUAUAGGGAAGUAGUGCACUACUUUAGACCAGGGUUUAUAGGGUAGUAGUGCACUACUUUAGACCAGGGUCUAUAGGGUAGUAGUGCACUACUUUAGACCAGGGUCUAUAGGGUAGUAGUGCACUACUUUAGACCAGGGUCUAUAGGGUAGUAGUGCACUACUUUAGACCAGGGUCUAUAGGGUAGUAGUGCACUACUUUAGACCAGGGUGCAUACAGCUCAGCUCAAAAGCAGGGCACUACAUAGGGAAUAGGGUACCGUUAGGAACGAAGUCUAGGAAUGUUCAUGUUGUUUAUUGCCUUUUAUAGUCUAGAAAGUGAGGACUGAGGUUUUGCACUAGAUUCUCUCUGCAGGGUUUUUAAUGCAGAGGGGUAAGUAACUAUGCCACUAAUAUCAAGGGAUGCUUCCUGCCCAUCUGCCUAUAAACAGCACUGCCAAUCAUUAUGAAAUGAUGAGUCCACAGAGUUAAUUCACUGUGUCCCAGACAGUACUUCCAGAAUGGGAUCCACUUCCUCGUCUAAUUCACUGUGUCCCAGACAGUACUUCCAGAAUGGGAUCCACUUCCUCGUCUAAUUCACUGUGUCCCAGACAGUACUUCCAGAAUGGGAUCCACUUCCUCGUCUAAUUCACUGGGUCCCAGACAGUACUUCCAGAAUGGGAUCCACUGGGUCCCUAGUCCCUCCUCCUCUACAGACAGUCACUGUGUGUCCCUAGUCCCUCCUCCUCUACAGACAGUCACUGUGUGUCCCUAGUCCCCUCCUCCUCUACAGACAGUCACUGUGUGUCCCUAGUCCCUCCUCCUCUACAGACAGUCACUGUGUGUCCCUAGUCCCUCCUCCUCUACAGUCACUGUGUGUCCCUAGUCCCUCCUCCUCUACAGUCACUGUGUGUCCCUAGUCCCUCCUCCUCUACAGUCACUGUGUGUCCCUAGUCCCUCCUCCUCUACAGUCACUGUGUGUCCCUAGUCCCCUCCUCCUCUACAGACAGUCACUGUGUGUCCCUAGUCCCUCCUCCUCUACAGACAGUCACUGUGUGUCCCUAGUCCCUCCUCCUCCUCUACAGUCACUGUGUGUCCCUAGUCCCUCCUCCUCUACAGACAGUCACUGUGUGUCCCUAGUCCCCUCCUCCUCUACAGACAGUCACUGUGUGUCCCUAGUCCCUCCUCUACAGACAGUCACUGUGUGUCCCUAGUCCCUCCUCCUCUACAGACAGUCACUGUGUGUCCCUAGUCCCUCCUCCUCUACAGUCACUGUGUGUCCCUAGUCCCUCCUCCUCUACAGACAGUCACUGUGUGUCCCUUGUCCCUCCUCUACAGUCACUGUGUGUCCCUAGUCCCUCCUCCUCUACAGACAGUCACUGUGUGUCCCUAGUCCCCUCCUCCUCUACAGACAGUCACUGUGUGUCCCUAGUCCCCUCCUCCUCUACAGACAGUCACUGUGUGUCCCUAGUCCCUCCUCCUCCUCUACAGUCACUGUGUGUCCCUAGUCCCUCCUCCUCUACAGACAGUCACUGUGUGUCCCUAGUCCCUCCUCCUCUACAGACAGUCACUGUGUGUCCCUAGUCCCUCCUCCUCUACAGACAGUCACUGUGUGUCCCUAGUCCCUCCUCCUCUACAGUCACUGUGUGUCCCUAGUCCCUCCUCCUCUACAGACAGUCACUGUGUGUCCCUUGUCCCUCCUCUACAGUCACUGUGUGUCCCUAGUCCCUCCUCCUCUACAGACAGUCACUGUGUGUCCCUAGUCCCCUCCUCCUCUACAGACAGUCACUGUGUGUCCCUAGUCCCCUCCUCCUCUACAGACAGUCACUGUGUGUCCCUAGUCCCCUCCUCCUCUCCAGACAGUCACUGUGUGUCCCUAGUCCCCUCCUCCUCUACAGACAGUCACUGUGUGUCCCUAGUCCCUCCUCCUCCUCUACAGACAGUCACUGUGUGUCCCUAGUCCCCUCCUCCUCUACAGACAGUCACUGUAUGUCCCUAGUCCCCUCCUCCUCUACAGACAGUCACUGUGUGUCCCUAGUCCCCUCCUCCUCUACAGACAGUCACUGUAUGUCCCUAGUCCCUCCUCCUCUACAGACAGUCACUGUGUGUCCCUAGUCCCUCCUCCUCUACAGACAGUCACUGUGUGUCCCUAGUCCCUCCUCCUCUACAGACAGUCACUGUAUGUCCCUAGUCCCUCCUCCUCUCCAGACAGUCACUGUGUGUCCCUAGUCCCUCCUCCUCUACAGACAGUCACUGUAUGUCCCUAGUCCCUCCUCCUCUCCAGACAGUCACUGUGUGUCCCUAGUCCCUCCUCCUCCUCUCCAGACAGUCACUGUGUGUCCCUAGUCCCUCCUCCUCUCCAGACAGUCACUGUGUGUCCCUAGUCCCUCCUCCUCUACAGACAGUCACUGUGUGUCCCUAGUCCCUCCUCCUCUACAGACAGUCACUGUAUGUCCCUAGUCCCCUCCUCCUCUACAGACAGUCACUGUGUGUCCCUAGUCCCUCCUCCUCUACAGUCACUGUGUGUCCCUAGUCCCUCCUCCUCUACAGUCACUGUGUGUCCCUAGUCCCUCCUCCUCUACAGUCACUGUGUGUCCCUAGUCCCCUCCUCCUCUACAGACAGUCACUGUGUGUCCCUAGUCCCUCCUCCUCUACAGUCACUGUGUGUCCCUAGUCCCUCCUCCUCUCCAGUCACUGUGUGUCCCUAGUCCCCUCCUCCUCUACAGACAGUCACUGUGUGUCCCUAGUCCCUCCUCCUCUACAGUCACUGUGUGUCCCUAGUCCCUCCUCCUCUACAGACAGUCACUGUGUGUCCCUAGUCCCCUCCUCCUCUACAGACAGUCACUGUGUCCCUAGUCCCUCCUCCUCUACAGUCACUGUGUCCCUAGUCCCUCCUUCUCUACAGUCACUGUGUCCCUAGUCCCUCCUCCUCUACAGUCACUGUGUGUCCCUAGUCCCUCCUCCUCUACAGUCACUGUGUGUCCCUAGUCCCUCCUCCUCUCCAGACAGUCACUGUGUGUCCCUAGUCCCUCCUCCUCUACAGACAGUCACUGUGUGUCCCUAGUCCCUCCUCCUCUCCAGUCACUGUGUGUCCCUAGUCCCCUCCUCCUCUACAGACAGUCACUGUGUGUCCCUAGUCCCUCCUCCUCUCAAGUCACUGUGUGUCCCUAGUCCCCUCCUCCUCUACAGACAGUCACUGUGUGUCCCUAGUCCCUCCUCCUCUACAGACAGUCACUGUGUGUCCCUAGUCCCUCCUCCUCUACAGACAGUCACUGUGUGUCCCUAGUCCCUCCUCCUCUCCAGACAGUCGCUGUGUGUCCCUAGUCCCCUCCUCCUCUACAGACAGUCACUGUGUGUCCCUAGUCCCUCCUCCUCUACAGUCACUGUGUAUCCCUAGUCCCUCCUCCUCUCCAGUCACUGUGUGUCCCUAGUCCCUCCUCCUCUCCAGUCACUGUGUGUCCCUAGUCCCUCCUCCUCUACAGUCACUGUGUGUCCCUAGUCCCUCCUCCUCUACAGUCACUGUGUGUACCUAGUCCCUCCUCAUCUACAGUCACUGUGUGUCCCUAGUCCCUCCUCCUCUACAGUCACUGUGUGUCCCUAGUCCCUCCUCCUCUACAGUCACUGUGUGUCCCUAGUCCCUCCUCCUCUACAGUCACUGUGUGUCCCUAGUCCCCUCCUCCUCUCCAGUCACUGUGUGUCCCUAGUCCCCUCCUCCUCUACAGACAGUCACUGUGUGUCCCUAGUCCCUCCUCCUCUCCAGUCACUGUGUGUCCCUAGUCCCCUCCUCCUCUACAGACAGUCACUGUGUGUCCCUAGUCCCUCCUCCUCUACAGACAGUCACUGUGUGUCCCUAGUCCCUCCUCCUCUACAGACAGUCACUGUGUGUCCCUAGUCCCUCCUCCUCUACAGUCACUGUGUGUCCCUAGUCCCUCCUCCUCUCCAGACAGUUACUGUGUGUCCCUAGUCCCUCCUCCUCUCCAGACAGUCACUGUGUGUCCCUAGUCCCCUCCUCCUCUACAGACAGUCACUGUGUGUCCCUAGUCCCUCCUCCUCUACAGUCACUGUGUGUCCCUAGUCCCUCCUCCUCUACAGUCACUGUGUGUCCCUAGUCCCUCCUCCUCUACAGUCACUGUGUGUCCCUAGUCCCUCCUCCUCUACAGUCACUGUGUGUCCCUAGUCCCUCCUCCUCUACAGUCACUGUGUGUCCCUAGUCCCUCCUCCUCUACAGUCACUGUGUGUCCCUAGUCCCCUCCUCCUCUACAGACAGUCACUGUGUGUCCCUAGUCCCUCCUCCUCUACAGUCACUGUGUGUCCCUAGUCCCUCCUCCUCUACAGUCACUGUGUGUCCCUAGUCCCUCCUCCUCUCCAGUCACUGUGUGUCCCUAGUCCCCUCCUCCUCUACAGACAGUCACUGUGUGUCCCUAGUCCCUCCUCCUCUACAGUCACUGUGUGUCCCUAGUCCCUCCUCCUCUACAGUCACUGUGUGUCCCUAGUCCCUCCUCCUCUACAGUCACUGUGUGUCCCUAGUCCCCUCCUCCUCUACAGACAGUCACUGUGUGUCCCUAGUCCCUCCUCCUCUACAGUCACUGUGUGUCCCUAGUCCCUCCUCCUCUACAGUCACUGUGUGUCCCUAGUCCCUCCUCCUCUACAGUCACUGUGUGUCCCUAGUCCCCUCCUCCUCUACAGACAGUCACUGUGUGUCCCUAGUCCCUCCUCCUCUACAGUCACUGUGUGUCCCUAGUCCCUCCUCCUCUCCAGUCACUGUGUGUCCCUAGUCCCCUCCUCCUCUACAGACAGUCACUGUGUGUCCCUAGUCCCUCCUCCUCUACAGUCACUGUGUGUCCCUAGUCCCUCCUCCUCUACAGACAGUCACUGUGUGUCCCUAGUCCCCUCCUCCUCUACAGACAGUCACUGUGUCCCUAGUCCCUCCUCCUCUACAGUCACUGUGUCCCUAGUCCCUCCUUCUCUACAGUCACUGUGUCCCUAGUCCCUCCUCCUCUACAGUCACUGUGUCCCUAGUCCCUCCUCCUCUCCAGUCACUGUGUGUCCCUAGUCCCUCCUCCUCUCCAGUCACUGUGUGUCCCUAGUCCCUCCUCCUCUCCAGUCACUGUGUGUCCCUAGUCCCUCCUCCUCUCCAGUCACUGUGUGUCCCUAGUCCCUCCUCCUCUCCAGUCACUGUGUGUCCCUAGUCCCUCCUCCUCUCCAGUCACUGUGUGUCCCUAGUCUCUCAUUCCUCUGCAUACUGUGUAGUUCACCAGGACUUCUCCUGAAAGGUCUGGGUCUGCUGCUUCACACACACUGGGUGUGUUCCAGGUGGUCUGUUUUGCAGUCAUGCUGCACACACCCUCAAUGCUAACACUGUAAACAUGUCUGUGUGUUUUCUACAGUUUCCUUCCUCAAUGCUAACACUGUAAACAUGUCUGUGUGUUUUCUACAGUUUCCUUCCUCAAUGCUAACAUUGUAAACAUGUCUGUGUGUUUUCUACAGUUUCCUUCCUCAAUGCUAACACUGUAAACAUGUCAGUGUGUUUUCUACAGUUUCCUUCCUCAAUGCUAACACUGUAAACAUAUCUGUGUGUUUUCUACAGUUUCCUUCCUAAUACUG